rnacentral:rRNA from 1 species
CAUGCAGUCGAACGGCAGCACGGGUGCUUGCACCUGGUGGCGAGUGGCGAACGGGUGAGUAAUACAUCGGAACAUGUCCUGUAGUGGGGGAUAGCCCGGCGAAAGCCGGAUUAAUACCGCAUACGAUCUACGGAUGAAAGCGGGGGACCUUCGGGCCUCGCGCUAUAGGGUUGGCCGAUGGCUGAUUAGCUAGUUGGUGGGGUAAAGGCCUACCAAGGCGACGAUCAGUAGCUGGUCUGAGAGGACGACCAGCCACACUGGGACUGAGACACGGCCCAGACUCCUACGGGAGGCAGCAGUGGGGAAUUUUGGACAAUGGGCGAAAGCCUGAUCCAGCAAUGCCGCGUGUGUGAAGAAGGCCUUCGGGUUGUAAAGCACUUUUGUCCGGAAAGAAAUCCUUGGCUCUAAUACAGUCGGGGGAUGACGGUACCGGAAGAAUAAGCACCGGCUAACUACGUGCCAGCAGCCGCGGUAAUACGUAGGGUGCGAGCGUUAAUCGGAAUUACUGGGCGUAAAGCGUGCGCAGGCGGUUUGCUAAGACCGAUGUGAAAUCCCCGGGCUCAACCUGGGAACUGCAUUGGUGACUGGCAGGCUAAGUAUGGCAGAGGGGGGUAGAAUUCCACGUGUACAGUGAAAUGCGUAGAGAUGUGGAGGAAUACAUGGAGCGCCCCCUGGGCCUACUGACCUCAUGCACAAAGCGUGGGGAGCAGAUUAGAUACCCUGGGUAGUCCCGCCUAUCACUAUUUGGAUUUCCUUAUAACACUAACGCUGAAAGUUACCCCGGGAGCGCAGGAUUAG